rnacentral:rRNA from 1 species
CCUACGGGUGGCUGCAGUGGGGGAUAUUGCACAAUGGGGGAAAUCCUGCUGCAGCGACGCCGCGUGUGGGAAGACGGUCCUCUGGAUUGUCAACCACUGUCCCCAGGGACGAAGAUGCCGGUACCUGGGGAGGCAGCUCCGGCUAACUACGUGCCAGCAGCCGCGGUAAUACGUAGGGAGCGAGCGUUGUCCGUAAUUACUGGGUGUAAAGGUAGCGUAGGCGGGACUGCAAGUUGGGUGUCAAAUCUACCGGCUCAACCGGUAGCCGCACUCAAAACUGCAGUUCUGGAGUGAAGUAGAGGCAGGCGGAAUGCCUAGUGGAGCGGUGAAAUGCGUAGAUAUUAGGAGGAACACCAGUGGCGAAGGCGGCCUGCUGGGCUUUUACUGACGCUGAGGCUCGAAAGUGUGGGGAGCAAACAGGAUUAGAUACCCUUGUAGUC